GGCUGAGUAACACGUGGGCAACCUGCCCCUCGCUCCGGGACAGCCUCGGGAAACCGUGGGUAAUACCGGAUACUCCCUUGCCCGCACAUGCGGGGGAGGGGAAAGCCCAGACGGCGAGGGAUGGGCCCGCGGCCUGUUAGCUAGUUGGCGGGGCAACGGCCCACCAAGGCGAUUAUGGGUAGCCGGGUUGAGAGACCGACCGGCCAGAUUGGGACUGAGACACGGCCCAGACUCCUACGGGAGGCAGCAGUGGGGAAUCUUGCGCAAUGGGCGGAAGCCUGACGCAGCGACGCCGCGUGCGGGAGGAAGGCCCUCGGGUCGUAAACCGCUUUCAGCAGGGACGAGGCCGCGAGGUGACGGUACCUGCAGAAGAAGCCCCGGCUAACUACGUGCCAGCAGCCGCGGUAAUACGUAGGGGGCGAGCGUUAUCCGGAUUCAUUGGGCGUAAAGCGCUCGUAGGCGGCCCGUCUGGUCGGGAGUCAAAGCCCGGGGCUCAACCCCGGCCCGCUCCCGAUACCGGCGGGCUUGAGUCGCGCAGGGGAGGCCGGAAUUCCGGGUGUAGCGGUGGAAUGCGCAGAUAUCCGGAAGAACACCGGUGGCGAAGGCGGACCUCUGGGCGCGCACUGACGCUGAGGAGCGAAAGCUGGGGGAGCGAACAGGAUUAGAUACCCUGGUAGUCCCAGCCGUAAACGAUGGGCACUAGGUGUGGGGGGAUA
rnacentral:rRNA from 1 species